UCGAGAAUUUUUCACAAUGGGCGAAAGCCUGAUGGAGCGACGCCGCGUGGGGGAUGAAUGGCUUCGGCCCGUAAACCCCUGUCAUUUGCGAUCAAACCUGGUAAUUUAAAAGAUGACCAGCUGAUAGUAGCGAAAGAGGAAGGGACGGCUAACUCUGUGCCAGCAGCCGCGGUAAUACAGAGGUCCCAAGCGUUGUUCGGAUUCACUGGGCGUAAAGGGUGCGUAGGUGGUAAGGUAAGUCGGAUGUGAAAUCUCCGAGCUCAACUCGGAAAAUGCAUUGGAAACUACCUUGCUUGAGGGUUGGAGGGGGGACUGGAAUACUUGGUGUAGCAGUGAAAUGCGUAGAUAUCAAGUGGAACACCAGUGGCGAAGGCGAGUCCCUGGACAACUCCUGACACUGAGGCACGAAAGCUAGGGGAGCAAACAGG
rnacentral:rRNA from 1 species